rnacentral:sRNA from 1 species
UGCAGCUUGAAGGUUAGGCUUAUUUUUAUGUGUUCAAUACGACAUGUUCGUCCUGUUAACAUUAAGUAAACCGGCAUUUUCCAGCUCUACUGCCGUUAAGGCUUUAAUUUAUAUUUACAGGAUUCAAUAUUAUGUCUCAAGUUACUGGCGUUGUUAAGUGGUUCAACUCUGAUAAAGGUUUCGGAUUUAUCGAGCAAGAGUCUGGUCCAGACGUAUUCGUUCACUUCCGCGCUAUCAACUCUGACGGUUUCAAGACUCUUGACGAAGGUCAAAAAGUUCAGUUUACUGUUACUCAAGGUCAAAAAGGCCCACAAGCUGAGAACGUAACUGUAGUUUAAGUUACCAGCUUGAUUAGCACUAGCUAAUCACAAAGAAUUUUGAAGAGCCGUGGUUUACCACGGCUCUUUUU